rnacentral:lncRNA from 10 species
CGGAAGUCUCCACUUGCAAAAUGAGUACCUCUCUUUGAAGGACCAGGUGUAGUCAGACAAAACUGAAAACCUAACUUAGUAGUGUGCACCUGUAACAAUAGCUGAAUGUUGGCCAAUCCCAGCAGCCAUGUUUCAGCCACUCAUAGACUGCUGAAUGUGCAAACUGCAUUCAAAUAAGGCAAACACCGAGUUGUAACUGAUCUCACUGUUUCUGUUCCUCACUUCUGAUUCCUAUGGUGUCAGAAGCAGGAUCUGAAGUGGAGCUUCUAGCGAGCCCCACCAGGAGCGCUGAGUGAAAAUACAAGGCACCUGCAGGACUCACUUGCAUCCAUUGAUCUCUCAGAGUGCCUGGAGAUGGUAGAACCCAAAGAUUGGAUUUUCUGAGAACAUCAGAGAAGGACUGUCCUUGCCAUCCACGCUACAGCAAAACUUUGGAGCCUUGAACCUUGGGUUCAUAACCUCACAACUGAGAAGGGUCCCUCCACACUCCUGGAACUAUACACCCAUUGGAACCCUUAAGAAAGGAAAAUAUUUGGAUCAAGUCUACAGAGAAAUAUCACAAAUGAUUAAAGGACCAAGAAAAAAAAAUCUUGUGAAGUGUUUAAGGUGGAUUGGCUCCAGGAUGGACCACCAUGGAUAACAAAAUCUGGAGAUGCUCAAGUCUCUUACAGCCAGCCCUCUGGGUCCACAGAUACAACCAACCACCCAUCAGCUGAUGAGGAACCCAUAGAUUUAAUUACAUACAGAUAAUUAUUAAAGAGAUUAUCUGCAGAAUAAAUUAUUAACAUACAUAAUGACUUCCAAACUUAUUUAUUCCCUAGGAAUUUUUUAAAAUUUCUCUAGAAAUUGCUACCUGAUUGAGUAUAAUACAUGUUCCUCUGUGUUGAGAUAUGUAAACUAGAGAAGUUGCAUAUUUGUAUAAGUUAAAAUAAAUAUAUAGGUUUCUCUCUUCUCCCUCUAUUCCUCCACAAACAAGCACAUAUUUAUAAAAGAACAUUAAUCCUCAAAAAGAUACUACAGCCAAGAACACAUUGAAUACUUUCAUUAAACAUUGUUUUGAACAUAAUACCUUUACUUUAUCAUCUACUGGCUAAAAUUCAUAGUGCUUAAAUUGCCUAGUUUUCUAAGACAGACUUUCCUAUACAGUAUUCCGUAAGUAUUGUUAUAGAAUACUAGAUGCUGGGUUAACAAAAGUUAAGUUCUUUUAUGGUAGAGUUUUCCUAAGACUUUAAUAUCUAAGUGAGACUUCUGGGAGCUAGCAACAUGCUAUUUCUUGGACUUGGGUGGUGGUUUCAUCGGUUUUUGCUUUAUAAUUAUGUUUUUGAAAUGUACAUCUAUUUUUUAUUCACUUUACUGUAAAUACAUAAAAAAGUCUUACAUAUAAUGUAUGUUGUGAUAUUCGAAGGAGAUAUAGAUUAAAAAUAAUUUUCUCUUGGUACACACAUUUAACAUCAGCGUUGCUCUACAAGGGUUUUAAAAGACAUUUAAAGCCACCAACUAAUUAGAAAAUAAACCAUUUACCUAAAUUGAUAUCCACAUACCACAAUCGUGAUGGGUCACAAAGCUAAGUAGAAAAUUAAUUCAACUGUCUAAAUAAUUCUUACGAAAGUGUAUUAUUCUUGUGUGCAUACAUUUAGAUAUCAUUUUGUUUUGAUUUUUAACCUAAAUAAAUGUUUCAGUUUCUUUUCACUUGGUAAAGGAUAAAAUCUAGGGUUCUCCUACAAAUCUGUGGGUCCAGAACCUCUCAUUACAAGAAAGCAAUGUGGAUUCCUUAUAGUUAUAAGUAAAGUGAUUCACAUGAAUCUGAGGUACAGAUGGACUUCAAACUUACGCAGAAUAAGCUAUGAAAAUUGUGUUCAUGGAAUAUUAGAAGGAUCCUUUAACACAGCAGUCCCCACACUUUUUGGCACCAGGAACUGGUUUCAUGGAAGACCAUUUUUCCACUGACCUGGGGGUGGGGGCGAUGGUUUAGGGAUGAUUCAAGUGUAUUACAUUUAUUGUGUACUUUAUUUCUAUUACAUUGUGAUAUAUAAUAAAAUAAUUAUACAACUCACCACAAUGUGGAAUCAGUGACAGCCCUGAGCUUGUUUUCC